CUGGGUCUGCGGCCUAUCAGGUAGUAGUGGGUGUAGUGUACCUACUAGCCUACGACGGGUACGGGUUGUGAGAGCAAGAGCCCGGAGAUGGAUUCUGAGACACGAAUCCAGGCCCUACGGGGUGCAGCAGGCGCGAAAACUUUACAAUGCUGGGAACAGCGAUAAGGGAACCUCGAGUGCCAGGUUACAAAUCUGGCUGUCGUGAUGCCUAAAAAGCAUUGCAUAGCAAGGGCCGGGCAAGACCGGUGCCAGCCGCCGCGGUAACACCGGCGGCUCGAGUGGUAACCGUUAUUAUUGGGUCUAAAGGGUCUGUAGCCGGCCGGAUAAGUCUCUUGAGAAAUCUGGCAGCUUAACUGUCAGGCUUUCAGGAGAUACUGUCUGGCUCGAGGCCGGGAGAGGUGAGAGGUACUUCAGGGGUAGGGGUGAAAUCUUGUAAUCCUUGAAGGACCACCAGUGGCGAAGGCGUCUCACCAGAACGGACCUGACGGCAAGGGACGAAAGCUAGGGGCACGAACCGGAUUAGAUACCCGGGUAGUCCUAGCCGUAAACGAUACUCGCUAGGUGUCGGCCACGGUGCGACCGUUGUCGGUGCCGUAGGGAAGCCGUGAAGCGAGCCACCUGGGAAGUAGGGCCGCAAGGCUGAAACUUAAAGGAAUUGGCGGGGGAGCACA
rnacentral:rRNA from 1 species